UCCCGGCAGCUUCGCAGCCUGCGCUGGGCCGGCCAUGGCGAGCGGGCGUGUGCUGGCGGCUGCGGCCGCGCUGGUGGCACUGGGGGCGCUGGGAGCCCACCCGGCUGCCGCGGAGGAGACCUCAGCGCCGUGGGGGAGUCAGUAGCCAGGUGCCCAACAGGCAGCAGCACGUCCCGGACAGCAGACGGGCUGAGGAGGACACGUUCUGCCAGAGCUGCGUGGAAGCUUCAUCGUGCAGAGGGCUCCUGAGCAACUCCAAGCUCUGCUCCAGCAGCAUCCUCUGCCCACACUCCCCCCAAACCGCCGGGAGGGGGGGGUCUCUCCCCAAUAAACCCCCACCGAGAGCUGGGCUGGGGGUGUUGUUUGGGGAGGGGCUCCCCAAAUCUGUGGGAGGGGGAUCAGCACCCUCCCGGCUGCAGCAGGAGUA